UGGGGGAUAUUGCACAAUGGGGGAAACCCUGAUGCAGCGACGCCGCGUGAGGGAAGACGGUCUUCGGAUUGUAAACCUCUGUCUUCGGGGACGAAAAGAUGACGGUACCCGAGGAGGAAGCCACGGCUAACUACGUGCCAGCAGCCGCGGUAAUACGUAGGUGGCGAGCGUUGUCCGGAUUUACUGGGUGUAAAGGGAGCGUAGGCGGGUAUGCAAGUUGAAUGUGAAAUCUAUCGGCUCAACUGAUAGGCUGCGUUCAAAACUGUAUAUCUUGAGUGAAGUAGAGGUAGGCGGAAUUCCUAGUGUAGCGGUGAAAUGCGUAGAUAUUAGGAGGAACACCAGUGGCGAAGGCGGCCUACUGGGCUUUUACUGACGCUGAGGCUCGAAAGCGUGGGGAGCAAACAGG
rnacentral:rRNA from 1 species